rnacentral:snRNA from 8 species
AAUGUGGAAAUCUCGAUUGCAUAAUUUCUGGUAGUGGGGGACUGCGUUCGCGCUCUCCCCUG